UCCGUAGGGUGCAAGCGUUGUCCGGAAUUAUUGGGCGUAAAGAGCUCGUAGGCGGCUUGUCACGUCGGCUGUGAAAACCUGGGGCUCAACCCCGGGCCUGCAGCCGAUACGGGCAAGCUAGAAUUCGGUAGGGGAGACUGGAAUUCCUGGUGUAGCGGUGAAAUGCGCAGAUAUCAGGAGGAGCACCGGUGGCGAAGGCGGGUCUCUGGGCCGAUAUUGACGCUGAGGAGCGAAAGCGUGGGGAGCGAACAGG
rnacentral:rRNA from 1 species